rnacentral:rRNA from 1 species
AAUGAACGCUGGCGGCAUGCCUAACACAUGCAAGUCGAACGAAGGCUUCGGCCUUAGUGGCGCACGGGUGCGUAACGCGUGGGAAUCUGCCCUUGGGUUCGGAAUAACAGUUAGAAAUGACUGCUAAUACCGGAUGAUGUCGUAAGACCAAAGAUUUAUCGCCCAAGGAUGAGCCCGCGUAGGAUUAGCUAGUUGGUGAGGUAAGGCUCACCAAGGCGACGAUCCUUAGCUGGUCUGAGAGGAUGAUCAGCCACACUGGGACUGAGACACGGCCCAGACUCCUACGGGAGGCAGCAGUGGGGAAUAUUGGACAAUGGGCGAAAGCCUGAUCCAGCAAUGCCGCGUGAGUGAUGAAGGCCUUAGGGUUGUAAAGCUCUUUUACCCGGGAUGAUAAUGACAGUACCGGGAGAAUAAGCUCCGGCUAACUUCGUGCCAGCAGCCGCCGUAAAAC